UACAGAGGUCUCAAGCGUUGUUCGGAUUCAUUGGGCGUAAAGGGUGCGUAGGCGGCGCGGUAAGUCGGGUGUGAAAUCUUGGAGCUUAACUCCGAAACUGCAUUCGAUACUGCCGUGCUUGAGGACUGGAGAGGAGAUUGGAAUUCACGGUGUAGCAGUGAAAUGCGUAGAUAUCGUGAGGAAGACCAGUGGCGAAGGCGGAUCUCUGGACAGUUCCUGACGCUGAGGCGACGAAGGCCAGGGGAGCAAACGGG
rnacentral:rRNA from 1 species